UUUCAUUGUGGCCUGUACCUCAGUGGAACAAGGACUCUCUGCUCUUGGAACUGAUGUUUUACCCAUUCUUUAAUCUGUGAUAUUUCUCAAUUAGGCACAUUGAAAAGGAGAUAUGAAGAGGCUGAGCGGCCAUUGACUAUACAUGCAGUGUUUGAUGUCAUUGCUUGCCUCUGUCAAACCCUUCAUCCCAGAUGUAGUGUGAAACCAUCAUCUGGCUUGCUAAUUGUUCAACUUCAAGUUUGACCUAAAAUAAAGAUGGAGAAGAAAAAGUUUCAAUUCAUUGACUGUUAACAAAUCCAUUCAGCAACUUCCUAUGAAGUUUAUUGCAUGCCAUCAUUCUCUUGGCCACCACCAGUCAAUAAACAAACAAACAAACAUAUAAUAAGCAUUGAAAAAAUGAAUGAGAAGAACACAACUUUCUUCCUCCUCUUUCAAAAAAGUCACAGAAAGAAUGUUGAAAAUUUUACAAUUCUUUGGAUAUAAGUAGUUUCAAAAAUGGUUGAUAAGAAUCUUUUAGAAUCAAAUAGAAAAGUCCAUCAAAACUUGGUCCAACAUUGACAGAAUUCAAAUCCACAUUUGCCACAUGUAGAGAGAACUUGAAAUGACAUCAUACUCAGGCAACACUUGUGAGGCAAAGGACCACAUCCAUGUUUGGUGAGGAAAUAGGACAUUCCAAAGUGCAGGAAAAGCAGCAAGUUAAAAGGAAAAUGAGGAGGGUGAAUCACUCUGAUCAGAGUGAUGACAUGAAAGGUAGCUACUUUGAAGCUUAAAUUUUGAUAUAUAUAUAUAGAGAGAGAGAGAGAGAGGUUUAUGACCACAUUGCUGAGAUCAGCAAAGUUGGCUAAUAUGGGAAUAUAAUUGAGUAAAUGCAUGCCAUUCCUAUUACCCCCUUGUCCAAUUCAAUCAAAACCAUCCCAUGGGCAUCAGAUUUGCUUCUUAAUUUUCAAUUUAUACUUUUGAUGUUUCAUCAAUCGAAAUCUCGUCUUGUGAAUUCUAAUUCUUACCAUAUGUGUUUUGCCUUCUCCAAUUCAUGAAGAAAAAAAGGUGCUCCAGUGAGGGAAGUAUGUGGCAGUCAAUUUGUUCAACUAAUUAUAGGCAUUGAUGAUUGUAGAUUAAAAUAUAUUUUUCCCAUGCAUGAAGACCUGAUGUUUCCUGUCCCUGUAAUUUUGGAACUGACAACACUACUUUCUUUUUUGUGGAUAAAAUGCAGUGAAUGAUAGAAAAAAAAAUGUAUGUGCAUGUACACAUAGACAAAUUGAAAAGAAACAUGUAAGAAGCAAAUAAAUGAGUCACACAUGUGUCACACAUAGUUAAAAUUAGACUUGUAUCAUUUAUGUUGAAUAAGUGAUAAUGGCAUGUGUUUGGGAGGCACAUUGAUCUUUUGUUUUGAGCAAUAAUACAUUUAGAACCAUCUGAAAAUAAUAUACUGCUAAAUUUACAAACAUGCUGUGUCCCACACUUUAACAUGUGUGUAUGGCAAACCUUGUUAGUAUUGUUAUCACAACUACAAUAUCUAGCUUAUGAUGAUGUUAUUAAUUUGGUAUUUUUUCUGGUGUGCACUGAUUUGGGAAAAAAUGUAGCCAUCCUCAAACAGCAGUAAGACACUGAAUUGUGAAGAAAUCAAUCAAACUAGCAAGCAAAGACAAAGACAAAAAGAACAACAAUAAUAACGAAAAAAAACCUGACAAUGAAAAUAAAAAGUUCAUGUAAAAUAAAAAUAUAAAAUUCUUGUGAUAUUCUUGUGUAAUAAUGGUCUAUUGUGAAGAAGAAUAAAAUGAAGAAUGAUCGUUGCGCAUGCAAGAAAGAAAAUGAAUAUAUUGAAGAAGUUGAAAUUUGGAAUAACUCAAGGCAAUCAACACACACACACACAUACAAAUAUAUAUAUAUAUAUAUAUAUAUAUAUUUAUUUAUUUAUUUAA
rnacentral:lncRNA from 1 species